UUGUGUUUUCUCGAUCCGUAGACGUGUCUGUCCCCGCAUAAAAGCUCGUAGCCUACAUACCUACCUCGUAGCUGCACAACCAACCUUAAGAGCAAAUCUGCUCAUCUAUUUGUGAAUGUAUAGCAUUGUUCCAGAAGAUCUUGUAAAGGCAUUAAAGGAUUCACAGAGCCGAAAGUGUAGUCCGUGAGUUGUGUUAAACAUGUGACGCAUUUUUACACAACGUGUCGAAAGAAAAUGGAGCCCAACGUAUGCAUGGGUUGUGAGACAGGCGUGUAUUUUAGGGACAGUGUAAUGCAGACAAGUUUGAUCAAAUUAACAGCAAGAAUUGAGCUGCAUGUGAAUUUCUAUGAAAAAAUUACACACUUAUGAUUAUGCCACAUAAGAAGUUAACUUAAAUCUAUGGAGUGUCAUACCAUAACUGAAUAAUCAAGUGCCACUGGUUAAAAUUGA